rnacentral:rRNA from 1 species
GACGAACGCUGGCGGCGUGCUUAACACAUGCAAGUCGAACGAUGAAGCCGCUUCGGUGGUGGAUUAGUGGCGAACGGGUGAGUAACACGUGGGUAAUCUGCCCUGCACUCUGGGAUAAGCCUUGGAAACGAGGUCUAAUACCGGAUAUGACAUACGGCCGCAUGGGCUGUGUGUGGAAAGUUCCGGCGGUGCAGGAUGGACCCGCGGCCUAUCAGCUUGUUGGUGGGGUAGUGGCCUACAAAGGCGACGACGGGUAGCCGGCCUGAGAGGGUGACCGGCCACACUGGGACUGAGACACGGCCCAGACUCCUACGGGAGGCAGCAGUGGGGAAUCUUGCGCAAUGGGCGAAAGCCUGACGCAGCAACGCCGCGUGGGGGAUGACGGCCUUCGGGUUGUAAACCUCUUUCGACAGGGACGAAGCUUUCGGGUGACGGUACCUGUAGAAGAAGCACCGGCUAACUACGUGCCAGCCGCCGCCGUAACAC